rnacentral:snRNA from 1 species
GGAUGUGAGAGCGAUCCGGCUGCAACACUUGUCACCCCAUUGAUGGCCAGGGUUUAUUCAGCAGAUCUUGUUGGCUAGGUGUGCCUUUCCUCCCUCAAUGCUCUGUGUGUGUCCUUCCUGAAGCUGUGCCCUCAGUUGGAGAUGAUGAUCACCGCCGAGAGAGGAGGGCACUUCUCCAUCCUAGCUGAGCUCCCCUGCUAGAACCUGCAGACAAACUCUCAAGAAAUGACCCCUGUUCAUCAUUCAUAUAAGAUGUGGAACAAAUGCCUUUAUGGUUAAAAUGAGAAAAAUUAUAGUAUCUGCCUCAUAAGAAU